rnacentral:rRNA from 1 species
GACGAACGCUGGCGGCGUGCCUAAUACAUGCAAGUAGAACGGUGAAGCGAGGAGCUUGCUCUUCUUGGAUGAGUUGCGAACGGGUGAGUAACGCGUAGGUAACCUGCCUUGUAGCGGGGGAUAACUAUGGGAAACGAUAGCUAAUACCGCAUAACAAUGGAUGACACAUGUCAUUUAUUUGAAAGGGGCAAUUGCUCCACUACAAGAUGGACCUGCGUUGUAUUAGCUAGUAGGUGAGGUAAUGGCUCACCUAGGCGACGAUACAUAGCCGACCUGAGAGGGUGGACGGCCAAACUGGGACCUGGAAACCGGCCAGAACCCCACGGGAGGCAGCAGUAGGGGAAUAUCGGCAAAGGGGGGAAACCUGGCCGAACAAAGCCGCGUGGGUGGAAAAGGUUUUCGGAUCGUAAAGCUCUGUUGUAAGUCAAGAACGGGUGUGAGGGUGGAAACUUCACACUGUGACGGUAGCUUACCAGAAAGCGACGGCUAACUACGUG